AGUGAACGCUGGCGGUAGGCCUAACACAUGCAAGUCGAACGGCAGCACAGUAAGGGCUUGCUCUUACGGGUGGCGAGUGGCGGACGGGUGAGGAAUACAUCGGAAUCUACUUUUUCGUGGGGGAUAACGUAGGGAAACUUACGCUAAUACCGCAUACGACCUACGGGUGAAAGCAGGGGAUCUUCGGACCUUGCGCGAUUGAAUGAGCCGAUGUCGGAUUAGCUAGUUGGCGGGGUAAAGGCCCACCAAGGCGACGAUCCGUAGCUGGUCUGAGAGGAUGAUCAGCCACACUGGAACUUAGCCACGGUCCAGACUCCUACGGGAGGCAGCAGUGGGGAAUAUUGGACAAUGGGCGCAAGCCUGAUCCAGCCAUACCGCGUGUGUGAAGAAGGCCUUCGGGUUGUAAAGCCCUUUUGUUGGGAAAGAAAAGCAGCAGGUUAAUACCCCGCUGUUCUGACGGUACCCAAAGAAUAAGCACCGGCUAACUUCGUG
rnacentral:rRNA from 1 species